rnacentral:tRNA from 1 species
UGGGGCGUCGCCAAGUGGUAAGGCAUCGGGUUUUGGUCCCGACACUCCUAGGUUCGAAUCCUAGCGCCCCAG